AUCACUUUCAGUACCUGAUAAGUAUAGACAGAAAACAAUAGUGGAUGAAGUCUUGGUUGAGGUCUACUGGCCAAUUUUGAUUUAGGUCACUUGGCUGAUCCCAUAGAAUUACUGUAACUUCUCUAGUUUUGUUUCUCUGUAGUAUAUUUCACAUGAUCGAACCAGCAAAAGUGUUUCAAUUUCUCUGUCAGAAUUUGCUCACUUUUGUUAUUUCUAUUGCAAGAGAGAUGAUUAGAAGUUUCUUGGAAACUUCUAAUCAUCUCUCUUGCAAUAGAAAUAACAAAAGUGAGCAAAUUCUGACAGACAAAUUGAAACACUUUUGCUGGUUCGAUCAUGUGAAAUAUACUACAGAGAAACAAAACUAGAGAAGUUACAGUAAUUCUAUGGGAUCAGCCAAGUGACCUAAAUUAAAUCAAAAUUGGCCAGUAGACCUCAACCAAGACUUCAUCCACUAUUGUUUUCUGUCUAUACUUAUCAGGUACUGAAAGUGAUUUUUAAAUUUUACAUAUUCCAUUUUGUAAAUAAUUAAGAGCCUAAAGUGUC
rnacentral:lncRNA from 1 species